AUGAACGCUGGCGGCGUGCCUAAUACAUGCAAGUCGAGCGAACUGAUUAGAAGCUUGCUUCUAUGACGUUAGCGGCGGACGGGUGAGUAACACGUGGGCAACCUGCCUGUAAGACUGGGAUAACUCCGGGAAACCGGAGCUAAUACCGGAUAACAUUUUUUCUUGCAUAAGAGAAAAUUGAAAGAUGGUUUCAGCUAUCACUUACAGAUGGGCCCGCGGUGCAUUAGCUAGUUGGUGAGGUAACGGCUCACCAAGGCAACGAUGCAUAGCCGACCUGAGAGGGUGAUCGGCCACACUGGGACUGAGACACGGCCCAGACUCCUACGGGAGGCAGCAGUAGGGAAUCUUCCGCAAUGGACGAAAGUCUGACGGAGCAACGCCGCGUGAGUGAUGAAGGCUUUCGGGUCGUAAAACUCUGUUGUUAGGGAAGAACAAGUACAAGAGUAACUGCUUGUACCUUGACGGUACCUAACCAGAAAGCCACGGCUAACUACGUG
rnacentral:rRNA from 1 species